AGCUCCAAUAGCGUAUACUAAAGUUGUUGCAGUUAAAAAGCUCGUAGUUGAAUUUCUGAUAAUGUCAUUAAAUUUUAUAUGAAUAGUUCUUAAUUGAAUUAUUUUCAUAUAAAACAUUAUCAUCAUCGAAAAUAUUAUAUUGGUCAUUAAAUUGUCUAGUAUAAGAUUUUUGUCAUUUACUGUGAGCAAAAUAGAGUGUUCAAAGCAGGCUUAGGCCGUUGAAUACAUUAGCAUGGAAUAAUAAUAUAAGAUUUUGAUAUAAAUUUUAUUUUGUUGGUUUAUAUAUCAAAAUAAUGAUUAAUAGGGAUAGUUGGGGGUAUUUGUAUUCAAUUGUCAGAGGUGAAAUUCUUGGAUUUAUUGAAGACAAACUACUGCGAAAGCAUUUACCAAGGAUGUUUUCA
rnacentral:rRNA from 1 species